rnacentral:rRNA from 2 species
GCUUUACUGUAGCUUGAAAUUGAGUUUGGGUUUAUUUUGCGCAGCAUAGGUGGGAGGCUGUGAUAAUAGAUUUGAGGAUCUAUUUGAGCCAAUAGUGAGAUACCACUCUAAAUAAACUAGAACUCUAACUUUGAUAGUCGUUAACCGGCCAAAGAACAGUUUCAGGUGGGCAGUUUGACUGGGGCGGUCGCCUCCUAAAAGGUAACGGAGGCGUGCAAAGGUUUCCUCAGACUGGUCGGAAAUCAGUCUUAGAGUAUAAAGGCAUAAGGAAGCUUGACUGCAAGACCUACAAGUCGAGCAGAGACGAAAGUCGGCCUUAGUGAUCCGACAGUGCUGAGUGGAAAGGCUGUCGCUCAACGGAUAAAAGUUAC